GCAAACUUGGUCAUUUAGAGGAAGUAAAAGUCGUAACAAGGUUUCCGUAGGUGAACCUGCGGAAGGAUCAUUACUGUGGGUUUAACUUAAUUAUGCCGGCUUUAUUCUUCUCUUAGGAGGGGUGUAAUUGUCAGCUUCAAACCAAAAAAAAACUAUCAUUAACAUUCUUGAUUGUUUUAUUCUGAAUUAUUAUAAAAUAAUACAACUUUCAACAACGGAUCUCUUGGCUCUUGCAUCGAUGAAGAACGCAGC
rnacentral:misc_RNA from 1 species